GUCCUUCCCAAGCUUUCCCGAAGCUUUAACUGCCGUCAGAGUCAGACCCGUCUGGCUCAUUUGUAUUCUCUUUUCUCAACUCCCCCAUUUUAAGGACAACUCUACAGUAAAUAGAAAACAAAAGUGGCUUUGUCUGCUUUGUUUUGAAAGGCUGUCGAAAUAGAGGUUUAGAGCACAGAGUCUGGAGUCAAACUUUCUGGGUUUGAAUCACGGCUGCAUCCCCUACUAACUGCAUGAUGGCAAGUUACACAACCUCUCUGGCUUCAGUUUUCUCGUCUGUAAAAUGUGGUUAACAGUAGUGGCUUUCCUGGAGCUGACCACGUCUCAGAAAGGUAUAUGGAUGCAUGAGGACAGACAGACACUCAAAAGGCAGCUGCCACGGACUUCCCAAAGGAGAUGGAAUUUCUUGCUGCAUCGUAGCAAAGGAACAAGGUCUCAGGAAACCCUCAGAUUUUUCUUUUCCUUCUUUUAUUGUUCCCCACCCAGUGUCUAAAAGGUUUUAACGGUUGUCAAUAUUUUAAGAGAAGGCUGUUUCAAGUGAAAAUAUAAUUUUAUGGCUUCUCUUGAAAUAAUGAGAAGGUCUGCCCCACUGGGCUCACCUCCCACACAGCUGCCAUCUGAUGGAUGGGCAGGCACCGCACAGCUCUCGGCAGCCCCCUGUCUGCCUGCCAUGGUCAUUUGCAUCACUGCCUGGCCCUGGUAGUUAUUUGAGUUUGUCACCCCCACCCUACAUCCUGGGUGUGAUUCUCCGGGAAGGAGGCACCCAAAGUUCAGACACACGUGGAUGGAUCUGAGCAAACCACCUUCUGUUUCUGGCCUGAGCAUGGGGCCAAAAGUCCCUUGGGGGGCAAAUCUCCCUCUGUUGAGAACCACUGGUCCAGAGGUCAUCAGGGACUAUUUGUGGAGAAAGAAGGGUAUUAGUGUCCUUUGAUUUGUGAGAGUUUUAGAAGAGAACACUGCCUCCCCCUUGGGGUAUGAGCCCCAGGGAAAAGAUUAAGGAGAGUGGUCAAGAGUUUGUAAGGGGCAGAUGACCAGAUCACUGUGCCACCCAUCACCAGCGCAACUGUGCCUGAGACCAGAUGUACUGAAUACUAAGUUGUGAUGAUCUCAGCCAGAAUUAGUGUCAACAGAUCAUCCAAGGAAGAUGAUCCACGUGGACCACAGGGAGCCC
rnacentral:lncRNA from 1 species